ACUCCUACGGGAGGCAGCAGUGGGGAAUAUUGCACAAUGGGCGCAAGCCUGAUGCAGCCAUGCCGCGUGUAUGAAGAAGGCCUUCGGGUUGUAAAGUACUUUCAGCAGUGAGGAAGGUGGAUAUGUUAAUAGCAUAUUCUAUUUGUACGUUAGCUGCAGAAGAAGCACCGGCUAACUCCGUGCCAGCAGCCGCGGUAAUACGGAGGGUGCGAGCGUUAAUCGGAAUUACUGGGCGUAAAGCGCAUGCAGGUGGUUUGUUAAGUCAGAUGUGAAAGCCCGGGGCUCAACCUCGGAAUUGCAUUUGAAACUGGCAAACUAGAGUACUGUAGAGGGGGUUAGAAUUUCAGGUGUAGCGGUGAAAUGCGUAGAGAUCUGAAGGAAUACCGGUGGCGAACGGCGGCCCCCUGGACAGAUACUGACACUCAGAUGCGAAAGCGUGGGAAAGCAAACA
rnacentral:rRNA from 1 species